CAGGCAGUAAGAACGGUUACAACACUCUGCAGUAAUUCUCAAGCGAGUCCCAGGCAUUUGAAGGAAUAGGUGGAACUUCUGAUUAAUACACGUUUAAAUGCUGUAUGAUGAAAAUAAAGGAAACAGAAAAACUAUUCAAGUAAUGCAAAUGUCAACAAUACUUAAAGCCCUUAGAAACAACUUUCCUGUACACUCAGGGCAAGCAGAGAACAGCCCAGGUGAAAGUUAAGACAACUAAGAAGACCAGAGGACACUCCGAGCAUUACGAGUAUAUAAUCAUGUUACCUUCCACUUACAGAUUUCAGGAUGGUCUAUAUAACAUCAUUAAUUACACUGAGGAAUACACCUAGUCACUUUCUUUUUACAGAUUUAGGGGUAUAAUUACUUAAUCUCUCUGUAUCUGUUUCCUUCAGCUGCAAAAUAGGCAUAUUAUUAAAUAUCUCAUUCCAUAAUGUCAGAAUGAAGGAUUUAUUAUAUUUAGAGUGAUUAAAAUAGUAUCUCACAUGUAUUUAUUAUUGUAGUAACACUCAUUUUCACAAGUCUAGCUAAACUCAAGUAAUUUAUUAAUUAAAUUUGACAAAGCAAACAAUGUUUGUUUAAGUUAUGUAGAUUUAUUUUAUUUCAUUUGUGUACAAUAUUGGAGAAGCUUUGUGCCUUACAAACUUUAAUUCAUUUGUAAUCCUACCUCCUUUUGUUCCCGGU